GGGCGGGGCGGGGCGCUCCCGGAGCAUCCCGGGAGUUGUAGGCCAGGGGCGGUCCCUGUAGCCCUCCUGUCUCUGUCUCCUGCCACGCCUUCUGGGUUUUACCCUUCCUGCAGAUGAGUUCCCGCCCUUACUCCUCCUUGGCGCUUGAGAAGACUGCACUGGUUUCUAAGCUCAGAAUGGAGUUCCCUAGCCUCAGGUGUGUCCACAAGACUGUGAAAAGGAAAGUAUAUUUGGCUCCAAAUGUGCCAGCAUGGCAUCCAGCUUUUUGUGAUCUGAGCCCCUUUCUUCUGGGCAUUGAAGCAUAAACAAGACAAAAAA